rnacentral:rRNA from 1 species
UACGUAGGGUGCGAGCGUUGUCCGGAAUUAUUGGGCGUAAAGAGCUUGUAGGCGGUUUGUCGCGUCUGCUGUGAAAAUCCGGGGCUCAACCCCGGACUUGCAGUGGGUACGGGCAGACUAGAGUGUGGUAGGGGAGACUGGAAUUCCUGGUGUAGCGGUGGAAUGCGCAGAUAUCAGGAGGAACACCGAUGGCGAAGGCAGAUCUCUGGGCCGUAACUGACGCUGAGGAGCGAAAGCAUGGGGAGCGAACAGG